AAACUUUCAACAACGGAUCUCUUGGUUCUGGCAUCGAUGAAGAACGCAGCGAAAUGCGAUAAGUAAUGUGAAUUGCAGAAUUCAGUGAAUCAUCGAAUCUUUGAACGCACAUUGCGCCCCGUGGUAUUCCGCGGGGCAUGCCUGUCCGAGCGUCAUC
rnacentral:rRNA from 1 species